GACGAACGCUGGCGGCAUGCUUAAUACAUGCAAGUCGAGCGCCUCGCAAGAGGAUGGUCGGACGGGUUAGUAACGCGUGGGGACGGACUCUUAUCUUCGUAAGAACUCUGCGAAACUGGAAGUAAUACCAAAUGUGCCCGUCUGGUAAAAGAGUUCACGGAUAAGGAUCGGCCCACGUUGGGUGAGAUAGUGGGGGGGGAAAACGCCUACCAAGGCGACCGUCGAUACCUGGUCUGAGAGGAUGAUCACCAACACUGGGAGUGAGCCACGGUCCAAAAUCCUCCGGGAGGCAGGCGUGGGGGAUAUUGGAACAUGGGGGGAAGCAUGAUGCAGUUCUGACGGGUGAGUGAUGAAGGUAUUAGGGUUGUAAAGAUAUUUCAACGGAGAAGAUAAUGACGGUAUCCAGCGAAGAAGCCACGGCUAACUUCGUG
rnacentral:rRNA from 1 species